rnacentral:rRNA from 1 species
GAUAAACGCUGGCGGCGCACAUAAGACAUGCAAGUUGAACGGACUUAAUCGAAAUAUUUAUAUUUUGAAGCGGUUAGUGGCGGACUGGUGAGUAACGCGUAAGGAACCUGCCUAUUAGAGGGGAAUAACAGUGAGAAAUCAUUGCUAAUACCGCAUAUGCCAUAGAUAUCACAUGAUAACAGUGGGAAAGGAGCAAUCCGCUAAUAGAUGGCCUUGCGUCUGAUUAGAUAGUUGGUGGGGUAACGGCCUACCAAGUCGACGAUCAGUAGCCGGACUGAGAGGUUGAACGGCCACAUUGGGACUGAGAUACGGCCCCGACUCCUACGGGAGGCAGCAGUCGGGAAUAUUGCGCAAUGGAGGAAACUCUGACGCAGUGACGCCGCGUAUAGGAAGAAGGUUUUCGGAUUGUAAACUAUUGUCGUUAGGGAAGAGAAAGGACAGUACCUAAGGAGGAAGCUCCGGCUAACUACGUG